GACGAACGCUGGCGGCGUGCUUAACACAUGCAAGUCGAACGAAGUGGCGAACGGGUGAGUAACGCGUAAUCAACCUGCCCUUCAGAGGGGGACAACAGUUGGAAACGACUGCUAAUACCGCAUACUGAAGGAGGGGAUUGCGUCUGAUUAGCUAGUUGGAGGGGUAACGGCCCACCAAGGCGAUGAUCAGUAGCCGGUAGGGAAGGAUGAACGGCCAGAGUGGGACUGGGAAACGGCCCAGACUCCUACGGGAGGCAGCAGUGGGGGAAUUUCAGAAAUGGAAGAAAGUGGGACGGGGCAAAGCCGCGUGAGUGAUGACGGCGUGCGGGUUAUAAAGCUCUGUUAAUCGGGACGCGGUACCGGAAUAGAAAGCAACGGCUAACUACGGGCCAGCCGCCGCGGUAAUUC
rnacentral:rRNA from 1 species